AAUAAGUGCAGUUUUACACUAUUCACGUUCAACUUUGACCGUUCGUCCUAUUUGAAAUUUUUUUUAUUAUUAGUAUUUUUAUUGCUAUUAGAUGAUAAAACAUAAAUAGUACUUUAUGUGUGACUAAAUAUUUUUAAAUUUUCCGCAAAAUUUUCAAAUAAGACGGAUGGUUAAAUGUUGGGCACGGAUAUCUACUGCUGCAUUUAUU
rfam:Oryza glaberrima chromosome 2 Oglab02_0024_5, whole genome shotgun sequence.